CAGGUGGAGGUAUAAAACUGAUGAGUGUUGGAAAAGAUAGCGAUGAUCCUGGACUGCAGCUUAACCUCUGAGACAGAGUAGAUCAUUAAAAUAUGUCUCCAAAUCCACUAACUCUCUGUCAAGCUCCAUACUACAUGUAGACAUUCUUCUGACUUCACUGAUUCAUAAAAUAGCAAGAUCAUGACAAACAUUCAGACCUAUCCAGCUAAGCUUAUUAUGUGUGGAGAGCGCUCAAGAAGAGCCGGCUAGAAUUAAAGCACGACGUGACUCAAGCUCACGGAGAGGAGAGGGAAUCUGCAAAGCUGCGUUCUCCAGGCACUGUCCGAGAUAUC
rnacentral:lncRNA from 1 species